GACGAACGCUGGCGGCGUGCUUAACACAUGCAAGUCGAACGGAAAGGCCCUGCUUUUGUGGGGUGCUCGAGUGGCGAACGGGUGAGUAACACGUGAGUAACCUGCCCUUGACUUUGGGAUAACUUCAGGAAACUGGGGCUAAUACCGGAUAGGAGCUCCUGCUGCAUGGUGGGGGUUGGAAAGUUUCGGCGGUUGGGGAUGGACUCGCGGCUUAUCAGCUUGUUGGUGGGGUAGUGGCUUACCAAGGCUUUGACGGGUAGCCGGCCUGAGAGGGUGACCGGCCACAUGGGGCCUGAGAUACGGCCCAGACUCCUACGGGAGGCAGCAGUGGGGAAUAUUGCACAAUGGGCGGAAGCCUGAUGCAGCAACGCCGCGUGCGGGAUGACGGCCUUCGGGUUGUAAACCGCUUUAGCCUGUGACGAAGCGUGAGUGACGGUAAUGGGUAAAGAAGCACCGGCUAACUACGUG
rnacentral:rRNA from 1 species